rnacentral:rRNA from 1 species
UCCGUAGGGUGCAAGCGUUGUCCGGAAUUAUUGGGCGUAAAGAGCUCGUAGGCGGUUUGUCGCGUCUGCUGUGAAAACUCGGGGCUUAACUCCGGGCCUGCAGUGGGUACGGGCAGACUAGAGUGCGGUAGGGGAGACUGGAACUCCUGGUGUAGCGGUGAAAUGCGCAGAUAUCAGGAGGAACACCGGUGGCGAAGGCGGGUCUCUGGGCCGUAACUGACGCUGAGGAGCGAAAGCGUGGGGAGCGAACAGG